UUUUGCGCUUCUUUUAUGAUUUUUCUCUAAAUUAUCAGCAUUGUUUUAGGGGGAAGGGGGCGAAAGUAGUAAUUUUUUUCAUGAAAGGAAUGAAAGAUAUCAAAUGCAGCCUGAAAUUGCUGGGUGUUCCAAGUACUUUAGCAGGCAUUUACCCUGGGUUCCAGUGCGUUAAAUGUAGCAGGCAUUGUACCUCGACUUCCAACCUGAUGGUCACUUUCGCCGCGGUUUUGUAUUUUGCCUUUAUAGUAUGAAAUCUUGAGUCUCUUAAGUUACCACGUUUGCCAAUGUGAAGCUUCGCUAACCAUUUAAGGACCAUACACAAUAUCAGUUUAGGAUCAUGAGUGAUGUUGUUGGCCUGUUGCAAGAAUCGGAUAAUGUUUGGCACAUUAGGUUGCCCAUGAUAACAGUGUUUGAUGUUGGAUCAACAAUGAAAACAGAAGGAUAGUUGAAACGGGACGGAUUUCUGUCCGCAUUGUCUCUCGAUAUGUUUUGGACAUUAUUUUUGUACAUAUGUUUGAUUUUCUUGUAGAAUUCGCCAAUUCUUUGAUCCUUGCGCUAUGAAAUCAGGCAGUAUAUUUUAUCGAAUUUCUUUAUGCUCGAACAGCUUUAUAAAUAACGAGUUGAUCUCUGAGAGUCCCAUCUGCCUUCUAUUUAAUUAUGACUUGGGUAGGUGCACAUGUGACAGAUGGUUUUUAUGACCCUGCCUUGGCCUUUGCAUUGUGCAAGCAACAUUAUAAAAGGGCUCUUUGUGCGAUUACUCGUGGAUAUCGGCAAGCAAUUCAAGUAAGGACAUGUUGCAGAUUAGGAAGAGAAAGAAGGGAAAGAGCUCCCCAACAACGCCCAAAUUUAACGUAUCUAAGGCACAAGUAAAUUGAAAAUUCUAAUGCAAUGUCAUCUACAUUUAAUUUAAGCUAAUAACGUCAGCACUGUCUCGAAAUCUGAAUUCCUUUUAUAUAUUACCUAACUUUAAGCUGUACUUUGUGAAUACAGCUAGAAAGACCAUAAAAUCCUACAUUGUGAGCUUAACCAG